rnacentral:rRNA from 1 species
CCUACGGGGAGCAGCAGUGGGGAAUAUUGGACAAUGGGCGAAAGCCUGAUCCAGCCAUGCCGCGUGUGUGAAGAAGGCCUUCGGGUUGUAAAGCACUUUCAGUGGGGAAGAAAGCCUUGGGGCUAAUACCCUCGAGGAAGGACAUCACCCACAGAAGAAGCACCGGCUAACUCCGUGCCAGCAGCCGCGGUAAUACGGAGGGGUGCGAGCGUUAAUCGGAAUUACUGGGCGUAAAGCGCGCGUAGGCGGUCUGAUAAGCCGGUUGUGAAAGCCCCGGGCUCAACCUGGGAACGGCAUCCGGAACUGUCAGGCUAGAGUGCAGGAGAGGAAGGUAGAAUUCCCGGUGUAGCGGUGAAAUGCGUAGAGAUCGGGAGGAAUACCAGUGGCGAAGGCGGCCUUCUGGACUGACACUGACGCUGAGGUGCGAAAGCGUGGGUAGCAAACAGGAUUAGAUACCCCUGUAGUC